ensembl:snRNA U2 U2 spliceosomal RNA
AUCGCUUCUCGGCCUUUUGGCUAAGAUCAAGUGUAGUAUAUAGAUGGUUCACCUUGGAGUGCCUUUGUAAGCUGCCUUUGUAAGUCCCUUCAGGGAGAUGGUGACGAAAUAUAAAUAAACAUUAUCAUCAUCAUCAUCAUCAUCUGGGAUAGUUUAAACUAUCCCAUUUGUAUAUCUAGUCAGCACAUGCUCAUAUUAAAGAACAUGUUCUUUAGCUACAAACUAUCC